GGGUUGUGAGGUUAGGCGACUAAGCGUACACGGUGGAUGCCCUGGCAGUCAGAGGCGAUGAAGGACGUGCUAAUCUGCGAUAAGCGUCGGUAAGGUGAUAUGAACCGUUAUAACCGGCGAUUUCCGAAUGGGGAAACCCAGUGUGUUUCGACACACUAUCAUUAACUGAAUCCAUAGGUUAAUGAGGCGAACCGGGGGAACUGAAACAUCUAAGUACCCCGAGGAAAAGAAAUCAACCGAGAUUCCCCCAGUAGCGGCGAGCGAACGGGGAGGAGCCCAGAGCCUGAAUCAGUGUGUGUGUUAGUGGAAGCGUCUGGAAAGGCGCGCGAUACAGGGUGACAGCCCCGUACACAAAAAUGCACAUGCUGUGAGCUCGAUGAGUAGGGCGGGACACGUGGUAUCCUGUCUGAAUAUGGGGGGACCAUCCUCCAAGGCUAAAUACUCCUGACUGACCGAUAGUGAACCAGUACCGUGAGGGAAAGGCGAAAAGAACCCCGGCGAGGGGAGUGAAAAAGAACCUGAAACCGUGUACGUACAAGCAGUGGGAGCAUGCUUAGGCGUGUGACUGCGUACCUUUUGUAUAAUGGGUCAGCGACUUAUAUUCUGUAGCAAGGUUAACCGAAUAGGGGAGCCGAAGGGAAACCGAGUCUUAACUGGGCGUUAAGUUGCAGGGUAUAGACCCGAAACCCGGUGAUCUAGCCAUGGGCAGGUUGAAGGUUGGGUAACACUAACUGGAGGACCGAACCGACUAAUGUUGAAAAAUUAGCGGAUGACUUGUGGCUGGGGGUGAAAGGCCAAUCAAACCGGGAGAUAGCUGGUUCUCCCCGAAAGCUAUUUAGGUAGCGCCUCGUGAACUCAUCUCCGGGGGUAGAGCACUGUUUCGGCAAGGGGGUCAUCCCGACUUACCAACCCGAUGCAAACUGCGAAUACCGGAGAAUGUUAUCACGGGAGACACACGGCGGGUGCUAACGUCCGUCGUGAAGAGGGAAACAACCCAGACCGCCAGCUAAGGUCCCAAAGUCAUGGUUAAGUGGGAAACGAUGUGGGAAGGCCCAGACAGCCAGGAUGUUGGCUUAGAAGCAGCCAUCAUUUAAAGAAAGCGUAAUAGCUCACUGGUCGAGUCGGCCUGCGCGGAAGAUGUAACGGGGCUAAACCAUGCACCGAAGCUGCGGCAGCGACGCUUAUGCGUUGUUGGGUAGGGGAGCGUUCUGUAAGCCUGUGAAGGUGUACUGUGAGG
rnacentral:rRNA from 1 species